GCUGGAACUACCGGUGGAUGAGAAUAGAAUCCAGGAGUUGGAAGGACUUGAGCGGAGUCAGACUUACCUUGCUGACGUUGACGAGAAACGUAAGGCGGUGAUCGACGAUGUUGGCGAUUUGUUUUGCGAGUUGAAGUUGCGGUUCUUGAAGAUCCAAGUUGGCGGGCUCGUCGACGGCGAUUCUGAAACCACCACUGAUGCAAUCAAGAAAACAAAUUAAUUUCAGAGACGCCAAUCAACUGGGCAAUGCGGCGACGACCUUCUCGAUUGGGAAAUGGAUCUGUGGAGAACUCUGCUUCCAGUAGCUCCAGCUGGACCUCGUCGUAAAAGUGGCGCUGACGUCCUGAUCCGGAAGAAGAUUUCGAAGUGGAAACAACUGGAUAACAAUCUGCAAUUGUUUUCUUACUCUAGCGGAAUCUCCUUCCUGUAGUAAGAUUUAAAUCCAUUAUUAAUCCGUUGAAGCGUUGAAGCUGAUCCGGCGGAAGUACUCAAUCGUUAUUGCUGUCCAGGAUCAACAGCUUAUUGAAGGAUUCAGGUAUUUGACCUUACGCAGUUUUUUCUUUUCUUUGCCGGUGUCAGUUAAUCCAAAAUUUCAAGGCAUCUCGAUGUUGAACUUAUCAAAUGGCCCAACAUUGAAAUUGGUUUGUUAAACGACAAGUAAUUAUUAUAACUGUAUUUGCGAGGAGCAUUUUCAUUUUGAGGCAAAGGAAUGUUUCAAACCUUUUAUUUUAUAUUUAAAAAAAAUCAAAGCCUUUGUUACAUAAUGUGUUGUUGUUCUGAAUUAAAAAAAAAAUGCAAAUAAACGAAAGAU